CAGUCGCCGCGGGAAUACGUAGGUCCCGAGCGUUGUCCGGAUUUAUUGGGCGUAAAGCGAGCGCAGGCGGUUAGAUAAGUCUGAAGUUAAAGGCUGUGGCUUAACCAUAGUACGCUUUGGAAACUGUUUAACUUGAGUGCAAGAGGGGAGAGUGGAAUUCCAUGUGUAGCGGUGAAAUGCGUAGAUAUAUGGAGGAACACCGGUGGCGAAAGCGGCUCUCUGGCUUGCAACUGACGCUGAGGCUCGAAAGCGUGGGGAGCAAACAGGAUUAGAUACCCCCGUAGUCCCUGUCUCUUAUACA
rnacentral:rRNA from 1 species